UACGGAGGGGGCUAGCGUUGUUCGGAUUUACUGGGCGUAAAGCGUGCGUAGGUGGCUUCCCAAGUAAGAAGUGAAAGCCCAGGGCUUAACCCUGGAAUUGCUUUUUAAACUGGGUCGCUAGAAUUUAGGAGAGGCAGAUGGAAUUCCGAGUGUAGAGGUGAAAUUCGUAGAUAUUCGGAGGAACACCAAUGGCGAAAGCAGUCUGCUGGACUAACAUUGACACUGAGGCACGAAAGCGUGGGGAGCAAACAGG
rnacentral:rRNA from 1 species